GACGAACGCUGGCGGCGUGCUUAACACAUGCAAGUCGAACGGAAAGGCCCUGCUUUUGUGGGGUGCUCGAGUGGCGAACGGGUGAGUAACACGUGAGUAACCUGCCCUUGACUUUGGGAUAACUUCAGGAAACUGGGGCUAAUACCGGAUCGGAGCUCCUGCUGCGUGGUGGGGGUUGGAAAGUUUCGGCGGUUGGGGAUGGACUCGCGGCUUAUCAGCUUGUUGGUGGGGUAGUGGCUUACCAAGGCUUUGACGGGUAGCCGGCCUGAGAGGGUGACCGGCCACAUUGGGACUGAGAUACGGCCCAGACUCCUACUGGAGGCAGCAGUGGGGAAUAUGGCACAAUGGGCGGAAGCCUGAUGCAGCAACGCCGCGUGCGGGAUGACGGCCUUCGGGUUGUAAACCGCUUUCGCCUGUGACGAAGCGUGAGUGACGGUAAUGGGUAAAGAAGCACCGGCUAACUACGUG
rnacentral:rRNA from 1 species